rnacentral:rRNA from 1 species
CAGUCGCCACGGUAAUACGGAGGGGGCUAGCGUUGUUCGGAAUUACUGGGCGUAAAGCGCACGUAGGCGGCUUGGUAAGUUAGAGGUGAAAGCCCAGGGCUCAACCCUGGAAUUGCCUUUAAGACUGCCGAGCUAGUAGGUGAGAGAGGUAAGUGGAAUUCCGAGUGUAGAGGUGAAAUUCGUAGAUAUUCGGAAGAACACCAGUGGCGAAGGCGGCUUACUGGCUCAUUCUAGACGCUGAGGUGCGAAAGCGUGGGGAGCAAACAGGAUUAGAGACCCCGGUAGUCCCUGUCUCUUAUAC